rnacentral:snRNA from 1 species
UGCUUUGCGCAGUGCAGUAUCCUAGCCCAUGAGGUUUGUCCGCGGCGGGUAUUGCUAGUUGAACACUUUAACCAAUUACCCUGUGUGAUGACUGAAAAUAUAGUCGUCGCUGGCAAUUUUGACAGUCUCACACGAGU